rnacentral:miRNA from 1 species
AUAUUAUGCAGAACACUAAUGU